rnacentral:rRNA from 1 species
GGAGGGUGCAAGCGUUGUUCGGAAUUACUGGGCGUAAAGCGCGCGUAGGCGGCCUUUUAUGUUCGGUGUGAAAGCCCUGGGCCCAACCCAGGAAGUGCGCCGAAAACUGAAAGGCUUGAGUACGAGAGAGGAGGACGGAAUUCCUAGUGUAGGGGUGAAAUCCGUAGAUAUUAGGAGGAACACCAAUUGCGAAAGCAGUUCUCUGGAUCGAUACUGACGCUAAGGCGCGAAAGCGUGGGUAGCAAACAGGAUUAGAUACCCUGGGUAGUCCACGCCGUAAACGAUGGAUACUAGUUGUUGCGGGCUUAUAAACUCGCAGUGACGCAGCUAACGCAGUAAGUAUCCCGCCUGGGGAGUACGGCCGCAAGGUUA